UACGGGGGGGGCAAGCGUUGUUCGGAAUUACUGGGCGUAAAGGGCUCGUAGGCGGCCAACUAAGUCGGAUGUGAAAUCCCCAGGCUCAACUUGGGAACUGCAUCCGAUACUGGAUGGCUUGAAUUCGGGAGAGGGAUGCAGAAUUCCAGGUGUAGCGGUGAAAUGCGUAGAUAUCUGGAGGAAUACCGGUGGCGAAGGCGGCAUCCUGGACCGACAUUGACGCUGAGGAGCGAAAGCGUGGGUAGCAAACAGG
rnacentral:rRNA from 1 species